GGUAGAGAUGGGUGCCAGGAGCGAGGGGCAGAUGCCUGCCAGGGCUGUCCUGCAACACAGCACUGCCUCCAUGCAUAGGAGGAAACUGAGGCCCCGUGGGGCUCAGUGACCUUCCCAAGGGCCCUGGGGUGCAAGCCUGGGCCUGCGUUCUUUGUGCUGCCCCCGUGGCCUGAGACCCCUGGGCCGAGCGCCCCUGGGCUGUUCACAGGAAGAAGGAGGAGAAGCAAUGGUUCCCAGGCAUGAAUAGGCGUCAGAAUCAUCUAGAACACUUGUCCACAGUGCAGAACCAGGCCGCCCCAGACCUGCUCCAGGAGACCCUGAGCCGAUGUCGGCUUCAUGAAGGCCCGGCGCACAGUGCGGGCACUGAGGGCUGCUGCCUGGGUGCUAGCGCUUUCCUCUCUGCCACUCGGCUCUCAGGGAAGUGCCAGCUUCCAUGCAGGAGGCCCAGUCUGGAGCCAGACCCUGCCACCUGCCAGCAGCCGUGUGGCCAUGGCCAGGUCACCUCCCUGAGCUUGGGUUCCUCGUCUGCAAGGGGGCCUAUCCAGUGCCUAAUGAGAGUCCAACCGGAGGGCAACUGGGAGGUGAGGCCCAGGGGGUCUGCCUGGUGGAGGUGGCCCACAGUCCUGUCUGUGCAUCCUCUGAUGGCACCUGUCAG
rnacentral:lncRNA from 1 species